CUGGAACCAAACGCGGCAGCUGAAGUUCUCAGGGACACAUUUGCUUCUCCCCCUGAAGAACCAGUUACAAAGCGUGAAUUCCUCUCUGGGGUCCCAUCAGAACAAAGAAACAGAUUCAAGAAAAUUAUUUUUUUCUUUUGAGCUGUUCAUAGCUUACAGUAAUUGGAUAAAUUACACUUUUGUGAGAACAAUUGAAACACUAACCUUUCUGUCUACCUGAUGUCUCCAGAAUUUGGAAAGUAUUUCCCUGCAGACUGCAGCAAGACAACUUAAAUAAACUAUGGGAAAAAUCACUAUAGCAACUUAUAUAUAAACAGCCUUUUUGUUUGUUGAUGUAUGGAAUACUCAGAAAGUUCACUGCAAGACCUGAUUUAAACUACAACCAGGAGACUCUGUCAGAUUAACACUACAAUCUGAAGAACUAUAGAGACUCUCAAAAAACUAGUGUAUAGUCUACAGUAGAUAUUAACCUUUGUUUCUCUUCUGUUUUCGUAGAAACACCUUUUAUUAAAAAUCUGUUUGCCUGCUUCAUAUAUAGAGUCCUAACCCAUCUGUAAUGCCACCUCCUGGAAUGGGACAUAGCUGUUUAACUGAACUGAUCUAUUCUCGGGACUAAGAGACUGAUAAAAAAGAUAUAAAAUGAUAUAUUCAAAUUUGCUAUUUUCUGUUUAUCCCUUUUGUUUUUCCACUCCUUUGUCUGUCUGUUUCUGUAACCAAAAAAGGGUCCUGAUCCAGACCCCAAGAGAGGAUUCUUGGAUCUUGCGCAAGAAAAAGUUUGCGAUGAGUCCACAGUGCAAAGUGAAAGUAAGGUUGUUAAGAAAGUGAAGGAGUGAAAUAGUCCAUAGACAGAGUAGAUCAUUCCCAAAAGUAAGAGGAGGAAUGCACCCACCGUAAGUACAGUGCUUGUUUAUAUAUAGGAUAACAACAACAACAAAAA